rnacentral:rRNA from 1 species
GACGAACGCUGGCGGCGUGCUUAACACAUGCAAGUCGAACGGAAAGGCCCUGCUUUUGUGGGGUGCUCGAGUGGCGAACGGGUGAGUAACACGUGAGUAACCUGCCCUUGACUUUGGGAUAACUUCAGGAAACUGGGGCUCAUACCGGAUAGGAGCUCCUGCUGCAUGGUGUGGGUUGGAAAGUUUCGGCGGUUGGGGAUGGACGUGCGGCUUAUCAGCUUGUUGGUGGGGUAGUGGCGUACAAAGGCGUGGACGGGUAGCCGGACUGCGAGGGUGACCGGCCACAUUGGGACUGAGAAACGGCCCAGACGGCUACGGGAGGCAGGGGUGGGGAAUAGUGCAAAAUGGGCCGAAGGCUGAUGCAGCAACGUCGGGUGGGGGAUGACGGUUGUUGGGGUAGAAACCGCGUGCGCCUGUGACGAAGCGUGAGUGACGGUAAUUGGUAAAGAAGCACCGGCUAACUACGUG